AGUUAUGCAGCAAUGUUGAAAAGGGAAUUAAAUGAAGCAAAUACAAUACUUUUCAUUAGUGCUAUUGAAGACACAGGCAUGUGAGAGCUCCUUACACAUUUGCAGUAUUACCCAAAAUAUAGCAAUGCAUAAAGACAAACAGCAUUUUGGAAUGAAGCUUAAAUACUGCAAAGAAGAAACCUAGAUCUAGUAAAAUAAUUUAUGAAUGAAUCUUGUACCUUGAAAA